ensembl:lncRNA
AGGAUUUAAAUCCAUCUGUACGAAGGCCUCUGUCACGUCCAGUGAGCACCACUAACUCGAUAAAUUUGAUUUGACAAGCGAUUUCACCGUGGAGGCUACAGUGUGGUGUGAAAAAGUGCCAAUAUUCCUCUUCGUCUUUAGCUCUGACUUGGCAGGUUUUAUGGUUUUAAACAUCUUUACGUGUUAGCUUUGUGCAAAUAUGCUCAGUCAACUCACAAUAUGAAGUUAUAUGGAUGCAUUUAAAGUGGGAAGUUAUACGAUAUGUGUUUGGGUACAUUAAGGUUUGUUAGGACAGACUGAAAUCUACAUCCAAUCUGUUUCCAUUUUAAUCCUUUGAAAUGAAAAAUUUUAGGGCGUAAGUUUGGACGUUUCUAACAGCUGCCGAGCGGGACGCCAACAUAAAGAUGUCUGUGCUGUUUGAUGAAAAGUUUUAUCCAUCUGGCCUCGCAAAGGCAGCGAUGUACCCUCAAAGAAGCAGAUUUGAGUGCUGUUAUGUAACACUCCAGCAGCGCUGCGGUGCUAACUAUAAAGGCUGCUUUAUUUAAACACACAAGCUGCUCAUUUAAAUGCCAUUAACCCUCCUAACAUGACUCAUAAUGGGUCGCGCGGAGGCCAUUCUGCUCCCCAAAGGGGCUUUGGAGUCCCCCGUCCGUGACCUCGCACCUCCAGCUAAAAAACACCGCUGGGACAUCCCGACUGAGUCACUGUUUAUCCAGACGCAGCUGAACAUUUAUACAGGCCUGCUUUAAGCCCAGGCAAACACAAUGUCCCUGUUUUAUCUUGUUCCUAAAACACUUAAUGAUGUGAUUCCUGCACAAGUAGGUGCAACAAACCUACUCGAGACCCCAAACAUUUAAAAAGCUUUCCCUCUCUCUACCCUGCCUUCGUCGGCUCAUCCACAAAGCUCUCUGUCCUGCAGUAAUUGAAUGUGUUCGCGGCGUAUAUCCUUGCAAUUACUCGCUGCUGUCGAGAGCAAUUCAGCACACGCAGCAUUCAGCACAAAUCGAUGGCGUUCAAUACCCCGCAGCACUAUUUCGACUAGGUUGGAAAAGUGCAUAUCUGUUCCUUGAAGGUGUCCAAUAAAUGCAGAACAAGACAUUCUGCUGCUUUUUUACCUUUAAGCCUGUUUACAGCAUGCAGAAAAAGUCUGCUGGGAGGGUCGUGUAGCUAACGGAAACACGAACGUCUAUCCAAAGAAAAUUGCCUCCAGGACCAAACGCGUCUUUUCUCUUUGUGCUUUCUCAGCUCGAUGGUUUGAACAGAGCUCCUCGGCGGGUGAAAUUUAAAAAGAGGAAAAUUGAAAAGCUGCGCUCUGAAAAGUAAUGAGAACGACGGGGUCACGUGUGCUGUCAUCAGUAGGUUGGGUGUUAUCGGAGAUUUCCAUGUACAAAUGCUGCAAAAGCAAACACGGCGGCUCCACUAAGAGUUAGAAACGAUCACCGUUCUCACAGGCGUACAAGAAACUUUAAGGUUCAGAACGUGAACCAACUUCAGCGGCUGUGCACCGACAGUUUGACUGCUUUUCUGUUGGGAUAUCACGAAGUACCGCAGUCGUGCAGAGGACAAACAGCUGGCUGUACAAUGAACAGAAGGUUAACUUCGAUACUUAUUGAUAUUUGGUCAGAUGACUUUAUUUGUCAGUUCUUGAUGACCAAAAAGGUGACUUACUGUUUUUCAUGGUGCACUUCUGUGUAAAAAGAAAGCAAAGUUUCUGAUGGCUGCCCGGGUUUGACUCGUGCAGACGUUUAUGCUCCUCGCUGUGACCUCAGUAAACACUUUGUUGUUGACUCUGUGGUCACUCGUCUCACGUCUGAGUGAUUAAAACACGUUAUGGUCAUUAUAUGGGUCACGUUGUUAGUCAAUAACAUGCAGUCAGAUCCUCCUCUUGUUGGUCAAAACGUCUUGAUAGCAACGAGGAAAAUGCUCAGCUUGAGGCUUUUUCAGCAGGUCAGUGUUUAAUACUGUUGUCACACUGAAAUCUUAAUUUUAAAAACGGAGCUUAAAGACAUGCUGCACAUGAACAGAGCUGAUGAACUGUAAACUGCUUCGACGGGUAUAUUAGCUGGUUGCCUUCCUGACUUUUCUGGAGGAAACGUGGGGCAGAUGUCGUGUGAUCCUCGAGCUUGUUAAGCUGGUAGUUGGCUGUUUGUUGUGGUUUGUAAAUAGCGUAGCUCCAGGCUCGGCGCUGUCAUAGCUGCUCUGAGAGACGAGGAGGAGAUAGAGAGUUGUAGUUUUCUUGCAGUGUCUUCACCUUGAGGGAGUAAACAUUUCAUGCCGCUAACACUAACGAGGGGUUCCCACCCCGCUUCAGCGCACACGCGUGUAAUAAUAACGGUCUCCUACGUCAUUCUUCUCGCUCUCGGUGCUGAUCCGCAGUCUCAGAGUGCUGUUAUUUAGCUCGCACACAGCAUUAUUACUAAUGUCAGUGUUGUUGUCAUGUACUUACUGUAUGUAUGACGGUAGCAGGCAGAUUAAAAAUCUCUUUACAUCUUCUUACAUGUCGCAGGCCGCCGAGUCGCUGCACCGAUGCAGUUGGGGAUUAAGUGCCUUGCUCCAGGGCACUUCAGCAGUAUUUGUUCAUGUUGAGAGAAACACUUUUCAUGCAGUUCUUGGUGCUGGUUUUUCAGCACUUUUCGGGUUAAAGCUGCCAGCUUUACGGUGGGUCGCUUGACUCGUAUUUCUUUUUCAGGCUCCUGUGAAGGUUGACAUGAGUGACUGAGGGCUGGUUUCACAAAGACAGACUUGUAGUCUGCUUACCUUUAACGUCAGGCUCAAUUAGACCUCUGAAUGCUGCCUCUCAGUCGGACUAAUCAGAUGUGAAAGGCUGAAAACUUUUAAAUAAAUAAUAAAUAUUCUAAUGUAAUAUUAUGAGGUCAGUGAACGUGUCCAUUUGAAAUAAAGUCAUACUGACACUAGCUAGUUUAAUUUGCUAAAAUUUGUAAUUUAAAAAUUCCUAAAAUUAGAUUUGUAUUUAACUAUUAGAGUUAAUGUUCUGAUCCUAAGAACAAUGUUUUAGAUUUUAAAGUCUAAGUGAAAUAUUUGGUUUAGUUAAAUCUGCUUAUUGUAAUUAUCUGGUGUCAUUCCAGUUUAAUUUUACACUCAUGUUUAUGGCUGUACUGUAUUUACAGCUUUGUCUCAAAAGGUAAACUAUGCAUUAAUGCAACGAUACUUUUUAUCUAAAAGUUAUCUAUGACUGUGAUUUUACUUUUUCAACCACAAUAAGAUGAAAUUUGCAUCAGGCUUAUAUAUACUUCUACAGUAUAAUCUCAGAUUUAGCUUUCAGAUUACUACAGAGUGAUAGUCUCAGUAACUCAGAUAUUGUACUUUUUUAAAUUUUCUGACAGGUAUAAGGAGGUUAAUUUGGAUUUAAUUAAAACUGGAUCAACAGCUAACCUUAACUAGCUGAACAGUGAAAUUUAAACGUUUGUAGAUCUCAUAGAUAAUUUUUUAUUUUUAUUUAAAAAUACAGAUUUUACGCUUUAACCAUAAAAAAAGAAAAUCUAACUAAAAUCUCUUUGUAAAACCAGACCUUGUGUUCAUUCAUCCUCAUCAGGUUGGAAUAGUUGUACAAAACAAAUUUUUAUGGAGGUUUUUUCUCAGUUAAGCAGCAAGUUCAGCUUUUCGAGUGGCCUGCAGUACUUCAAGAGAGGAUUCAGUUUUCACACAGGAGGGGUGGUGAGCUGGUAAAUUUUCCAUCGUAUUUUACAUGAUUUAAAAAUAAAGAUAUUUUUAAAUCAUGCACUCUUUACUAAAGUUUCACCACCACCUCUACUUUAAUCCUCUGGGAGAAAAGUCUUUGUAUAUAUUUACUGAGAUUUACAGAAGAAUAGCUGUUUACAGUGUUCUCAGCAGAUGUCUGUUUGUGCAACGUGAAGAAGGAUACAGGAAGAAAACAUGCUGUUGUGAUCAGAUUAUUCAUAUUAGUUAUGGGACAUGCAUAGAGACAAGAUAUAUGUACAUGAGAUUUUUAAAGUAUGUGAAGGACACUGUCUGUCCACAGCUCUUUCAGUUUGAAACGUAUUUAUUCAGCUCAGUUCUGUGUUUGUCACAGAGGGCGAAAGGUCCUCUUUUAUGGAUAUGCAGACCUGGGAUAAACUGUCUUUGAAUUGUGUCUCAUUUCUGCUGCCGUUGUUGGAUUUGUCAACUUUGGCACCUGGUUUCUCUUCUUUCCACAUUCCUACUCUCAUGACUGUCUGUGUGUCAGCUUCAGUUUAACAAAAGGAGAAACUUGGUCGCCAGGAAUGAAAAAAGAUCAAAGAAGUGAACAGAAGUCUGUGUCAUGUUGUCCCAGGUCUGCGGACGAUGUUCUGGUGGCUUCGGACAACAGUGAGUUGCCUUUAAAGGUAGACUUAGUUAUCUGACACCGCCACUCCUGAUCUGGGUGACACUCAGAGAUGGUCGUUCAGAAGAAACGGCAGCAACGAGACGCUGCAAAGCAACAUCUUUGAUUUUUUAAAACGUUUCUGAGAAAUGCAGCUAUCGUGGAUGUAGUAACACUUUAUUUUACAGGUCCAACGGUUUCCUAACAUUCCCUGAAAUUAAAUAUAAUCUGAAGAUUUCAGUGCUGUACAUAUCAAAACACUGAUACACUGUCUAACAACAAAUCUAUAAUAAUCUUCAUAUACAAUACAUAAUAAGUAUAUCAUUGCCUACUUAUACCUCAAAUAAAAUCCAGGUCCGUAUGCAGUAUGUGUUGAGCAUCAGUGUAAAAGUGGUCAAAGAUUUAGACCAGGAAAAGCAACUGGUUAGAAAAUCUGCCCACUUAAUGGCUUAAAAGUAAAUAAUGAAACCUUAAAAUUAAUUUUAAAAUAAACAGGGAAGUAAUAAACUGAUGCUGAUGUAACAACAUAUUGAGACCUCCCUGUAGGCCGGUACACCACAGCCAGUGUUCGAUGGUGGCGUCUGUGUCGAGUGUCAGCACACUGGCUGAAGUCAUGCGCAGGUUUUUAUUGCAUGUUUGUUGAGUUUAGAUCCUAAAAAAUCUAAAAGCAACUGCAAAGAGUUUGGGUUCCUUUUGUGGAACAGAUGAUCUUACAUUAAACACUGCCUCGAUCCAGCUGUAGUUGUGAUUUGGUGCUAUAUAGAUGAAACUGAAAAUUAUUAUGAGCUCUCCAAAAGUGGAUCCCAGUGGGAGUGGGUGUAAAGAAAAUCGAACCAGGCCAAGAAUAGAUCCUUGAGGGACACCACAGGUGACGGAGAACUCACCAAGGCUCACGGCUUCUUCAAAUCAACGUCACAAUAUAUUACAAAAAUAAUAUUAAUAUAUAACUUGAGCUAGAAGAUGCUAAAGUCAGCAGGGGCCUUGCAUAUACUGAUUGCACGAGGCUUUCACCUGCUCAUUGACCUGUUUAAGUAACAAAUCCACAGAGGAGGCAAAAACAUAAGAAACACAGUAAAUCGGUGUGUUUUUGCACCGAGCACACAAAGCUGUGCAAAUAUGCGACAGUUCAGGGACUCCAGACACACGGGGAGCAAAAGGCUCCUGAAUUCACCAAACGCUCAGCAGAUUUCAAACCCAAGUGCUGCAGCACCUCACACAAAUCCCAUUAUAGGCCCAAUUAUUAUAAUGACCUCUACAUGUUAUCCAUGCAGCAGUGCUUUAACUUAAAUUCUACAUUUGAGAAAUUGAAUAACAGGGAAGGCGGUUGGAAAUUACGCAAACAAUGCUAUGCACAAUAUUUUCAAUACAUUAUAAAAAUAUGGUUCCAAAGAAUAUCCAUUUAUUAUCCGUACAGUGUGCAGCAGCUAAGGUGAGAGAACUGGCAAAGAUGGCGAUAGAUAAAAGAUUUUUUAAAAGAUUUUUGGGGCAAAAAUCAUGAAACUUUUUGAUUAUUUUAGUUGACUUUGUCCCAACGACCAUUAAAGUGAUGUCAGAUGUGUUUCAGCAUGACUGGCUCCCAGAAUAGCUUUGGUUUGGUCCACAUGCCGAAUCCUACAGAGUCCACGGCAGCAAAACAAAUAUGAGGAGCUGUAAUAAUAUAGAAAUGUACUCGGGUUUAAAUCGAUCUUUGUGUUUCCGAUCAAUAACACGUUAGCUGCUCUUUCUCCUGGAAAUCAAUCACAAGCUUAACAGCUAAUGAGCUCCACUGUAAUCCUCUCUGUGCUCCAUCCUGACCAGCAGGAGAAGCCGAGGCUCCGAUGAAGCUCUGAGUGAAGAUGAUGGAUGGACGCAGUAACCACAGACAGCCUCCAGUUCCUGAUUACAGGUUUACAUCUACAAAGUCCUGUUUCAUGACACGAGCAGAGGUUUAAAAACGUCAUGGUUUAUAACCUCAACCUGAAACUUUUUGAUUAUAAAAUCUCAUUUGUCAAGUUAAUAAAUAAUAAUGAGUUUAGAUAUCUGAAAAAAGAUCGUCUUUAUCCAAAUAUAUAUAUAUUUAUCUCACAAUCUUUAAUUACUUUGAGCAAACAGGUUUACAUUGUAGCUUAUUUUACAUUGUUUAUAAUGUCAAAAAUCAGCAGUUCUGUAAGACACUAAAUGCUGCUUAGAAAGCAGCUGCAGUGAAAAUACCUCAGAAAGGACCUCAAAUAUUUUUUAUUUCUUUUAUUCAAUCAGAUAAUCCCAUCGAGGCUCAGCGCACAUUUACAAGAGCAGUUUCAGACAGUAUAACAAAAAAGUUUGUAUAAUUAAAUUCAUAUAAAAGGAAAAUAAUUAGCUGAAAAUUACUCUUAUUGAUGGUGUCAAAUGCGAAAAUUAAUUAUAGAUAAAUAUAAAUCAUAUUUUUUAGUGCUGCUAACUUACAGGAAGUAGGAAAUAUUUAUUUUGCUGGAUUUCAUAUACAUACGUUUAUUCAAGUCAAAUGUUUUUCAUUCAGUGCGGCGCCUACAGCGUCGGAUACGCCGCAGCUGAUUAAGUCAAACCACUGAAAUAGUUCAAAACAACCAGAUAAAUAAAAAUAGGAUGAAGUCACAAUAACACGACGAUGAAAUGAUGUUUGUUAGUUAUGCUCACCUGAUCUGUUCAAAAGAAAAUGUUACAGAAACUAUGAAAUCUUUAUUUUAUGUGAAAUAUCUAUUUAAAUCGUUUCCAUUGCAGAUUCUUUUAUAUUUCUACUUUGAAUGUUUCAGUGUUUGAUUGACUCAGAAUGAGCUGAACACACUUUAUGUUGUGAUUGAGACACAAAUCUGAGUCGUAUGAAGCUGUGGAGCCUGUAAAAUCCAAAACAACACGUUUUACUGCAUCCAGAACCGUUUUUAUCACGACGAAUGCAAAAACCUGCUUUCUUAAAUUCCACCGACACAAACGCGUCGCUGAGGUCUGGGAGUGGCGUCACGUGGCUGAGUCUUCCUUUAACUUGCCUGUUGUUGCCUUUAGUUUCUAACGUUGUCUAAAAAAUGUAGGAGAAUAAAAACAUAUCAAAGGUAGUCUGGCAGACUUUUUGAAGAUAUACUGAUGUUCUCUGGAUAGUUUCACUACUACUAUUACUUCUAGGGAGAUUUUAUCAGAAAUAGCUUUAAGAGAGAUUCGCUUCAGUUUGUUUUUCUUAUAGAGAAAAAGACGUUUUCUGUAAAUACAGUUUGGUUUUUCUUUGGAUUUUUGGGUUUUUAUGACUAAAUGGGUUGAUUAUAAAAUUAAAAUGAAAAAAAUCGGACCUUGGCUUCACUUCUUUACAAGCGAACUAAAGCACAGUUUGGUUUCUCUCGUGUUCCAGUCGGACAUCCUGUAAAUAGAACCUUUUCUAUCUUUAUUUCUCUCUUAUUUAAGAUGAACCUCAUCAUCCUUUGCACACGACGUUGUACCAUUUUUAUGACGAUGCUUAUGUCUGAUAGGCAUGUUUACGUUAAUGACUCGAGAAAAUUAUAAUUGCGGUUUUCUUAUUUAAACACUUGACUGGAACAGAGAUGUUUGUUGUUGUUUUUUCUAUGUUUGCUUUGGUUUUAUUGUCCACGCUGGUCAUAUACCAAUAACACCUGUUCUGUUAACAAUGAACUGUCAAUAAAAGUGAAAACUUCAUCGUCUAAGACGCGUCUUUUACUUUUUUGCAGAUCAAUAACUCGUCAUGAGUCAUGGAUUACAUCUCUGAUGGGCC